rnacentral:rRNA from 1 species
ACGGAAGGCAGCAGUGAGGAAUAUUGGUCAAUGGGCGCGAGCCUGAACCAGCCAAGUAGCGUGCAGGAUGACGGCCCUCCGGGUUGUAAACUGCUUUUAGUUGGGAAUAAAAGAGCGUACGUGUACGCUGUAUUGUAUGUACCAUAAGAAUAAGGACCGGCUAAUUCCGUGCCAGCAGCCGCGGUAAUACGGAAGGUCCAGGCGUUAUCCGGAUUUAUUGGGUUUAAAGGGAGCGUAGGCGGAUUAUCAAGUCAGUGGUAAAAUCGUGUGGCCCAACCAUACCUCGCCAUUGAAACUGUUAGUCUUGAGUGCACGCAGGGAUGCUGGAAUUCGUUGUGUAGCGGUGAAAUGCUUAGAUAUGACGAAGAACUCCGAUCGCGAAGGCAGGUGUCUGGAGUGCAACUGACGCUGAGGCUCGAAAGUGCGGGUAUCAAACAGGAUUAGAUACCCUGGUA